rnacentral:rRNA from 1 species
ACCAAGGCGACGACGGGUAGCCGGCCUGAGAGGGUGACCGGCCACACUGGGACUGAGACACGGCCCAGACUCCUACGGGAGGCAGCAGUGGGGAAUAUUGCACAAUGGGCGCAAGCCUGAUGCAGCGACGCCGCGUGAGGGAUGACGGCCUUCGGGUUGUAAACCUCUGUUAGCAGGGAAGAAGAGAAAUUGACGGUACCUGCAGAGAAAGCGCCGGCUAACUACGUGCCAGCAGCCGCGGUAAUACGUAGGGCGCGAGCGUUGUCCGGAAUUAUUGGGCGUAAAGAGCUUGUAGGCGGUUUGUCGCGUCUGCUGUGAAAGGCCGGGGCUUAACCCCGUGUAUUGCAGUGGGUACGGGCAGACUAGAGUGCAGUAGGGGAGACUGGAAUUCCUGGUGUAGCGGUGGAAUGCGCAGAUAUCAGGAGGAACACCGAUGGCGAAGGCAGGUCUCUGGGCUGUAACUGACGCUGAGAAGCGAAAGCAUGGGGAGCGAACAGGAUUAGAUACCCUGGUAGUCCAUGCCGUAAACGUUGGGCACUAGGUGUGGGGGACAUUCCACGUUUUCCGCGCCGUAGCUAACGCAUUAAGUGCCCCGCCUGGGGAGUACGGCCGCAAGGCUAAAACUCAAAGAAAUUGACGGGGGCCCGCACAAGCGGCGGAGCAUGCGGAUUAAUUCGAUGCAACGCGAAGAACCUUACCAAGGCUUGACAUAUACUGGACCGCAUCAGAGAUGGUGUUUCCCUUCGGGGCUGGUAUACAGGUGGUGCAUGGUUGUCGUCAGCUCGUGUCGUGAGAUGUUGGGUUAAGUCCCGCAACGAGCGCAACCCUCGUUCUAUGUUGCCAGCACGUUAUGGUGGGGACUCAUAGGAGACUGCCGGGGUCAACUCGGAGGAAGGUGGGGAUGACGUCAAAUCAUCAUGCCCCUUAUGUCUUGGGCUUCACGCAUGCUACAAUGGCCGGUACAGAGGGUUGCGAUACUGUGAGGUGGAGCUAAUCCCUAAAAGCCGGUCUCAGUUCGGAUUGGGGUCUGCAACUCGACCCCAUGAAGUCGGAGUCGCUAGUAAUCGCAGAUCAGCAACGCUGCGGUGAAUACGUUCCCGGGCCUUGUACACACCGCCCGUCAAGUCACGAAAGUUGGUAACACCCAAAGCCGGUGGCCUAAC